GGAUGCCUAGGCUCUCAGAGGCGAAGAAGGACGUGAUAAGCUGCGAAAAUCCACGGGGAGCUGCACAUGAGCAUUGAUCCGUGGGUGUCCGAAUGGGGCAACCCGGCUGGUUGAAGGCCAGUCACACCGUAAGGUGGGCGAACCCGCUGAACUGAAACAUCUAAGUAGGCGGAGGAAGAGAAAACAAGAGUGAUUCCGAGAGUAGUGGCGAGCGAAAUCGGAUCGGCCCAAACCGUUGUUGUUCCGGCAAUGACGGGGUUGUAGGACCACAAUGUUCUUUGCGCGACGAACCGGAAGCAGUUGGAAAGCUGCACGAUAUGGGUGACAGUCCCGUACGGGCAAGGAGCGUUAAAGAUAGUGGUAUCCUGAGUAGCGCGGGGCACGUGAAACCCUGUGUGAAUCCGGCGGGACCAUCCGCCAAGGCUAAAUACUCCUGAGAGACCGAUAGUGAACCAGUACCGUG
rnacentral:rRNA from 1 species